GUCUGCUGAUGGAAAUAAAGACUUUUUUCUUUUAAACCUCUGUGUCUGAUUAAGUUUUUAAAGUGAACAAUAAUCAUAAAUAUUCAUGCUUAAUUUUCUUUAAAUUUUCCUCUAAUUAUUCAAUUAAAAAAAAUUUGUCUGAACUUUAUUAAUAUUUUUCCAAAUUUUAGUCCCAUAUUCUUUUCGUUUUAUUUUUCGACUACUUUAAAAUGAAAAGAUUUUCUUUUCUUCAGUUUCACUACUUGAUUUUUGAUUUCGUCAUUAAAUUCAGAUUUUUCAUUAAUUUUUCUUUAAUUAGAUUUUCUUUGUUUUCCUAGUUUUUUUUUCUUCUUAUUUUUAUUUCGUCAUUUUUCCAUCCUCUGUGUUUUGGGGUUUUUUCCUCUCAUUUUUCCCUCUUUAUUUCUUCAGAAAGUCCCCUUUUCUUGAUUUUGUCUUAUUUGUUUUUUAUAGUACAUUUAAAAGACAUGAAAAAGCAUUAUAUUAAACAGAGCAACCCACAAACUAUUCAUUCUUUAUUCAUGCUUCCUGAUUUAUUUUCUUCAUUUUUAUUAAUUUUAUUACAAUUAAUUCAUUUCAGUAAUAACUUUCACUUUCAUUAUUUCACUAGCUUCUCUUUCUGUCUGUCUCUCUCUCUCACUGUUUCUAUCUUCUUUUCUAUCCAUCUCUAUCUCUCCCUUUUUGCCUGUCUCACUCUCUUUCUGUCUGUCUCACUCAAUCUCCUUCUCUCUGUUUCUCUUCUUUUCUAUCCAUCCCUCUGUAUCCAUCUUUUUCCCUCUUUCUGUCUCUUGCUCCAAUCUCCUUCUCUCUGUAUUUCUCUCUGUCCCUCUAUGUGCCUAUUCUGUCUCUAUCUCUCCUCCUCUCCUCUAUAUUCACCUCACACCUGUUUGUCUGUCUGUUUCCCUCUCUGUUUCUCUUUCUGUCUCCUAUUCCUCAAAUCGAAUCAUAUUGCCGAUUAGAUUCUUUUGAACAAUCCGUUUCAGUAAACCAGUUGUUGCGAGCCGACUCCUUUGAUUCACCACGAUGCAAAAGUUUGCACACCCCGUCUGACAGGCUCUGGUUUGUUCAUUUUUGACAGAAAGUGCACUUUGUUCAUUCUUAUUUCGAGCAGGAAACUCAGUCGGAUGAAGUGAAGAGUCUGCGAGAAUCAAGAAAAUGACUCGUGCCAGAAAAUAUCGACUUAAUCUUGCAGAAAAGGUUCAAAGGUAUAAAGAUGAAUGUGCUAUUAUUUUCAAAUGAUAAAAGGCUAAAUUAAUUAUUACAAUUUAUACAUUUAUUUUCACUUGUACAUCUUCAGUUUCAGCCAAGAGUUUUCAUUUUGACGCAUCGUUAUCGUUUUUAUGUUCUAGCAAAUCCGAGAGCCUGUAAAGGACAAAAGCCAUAUCCCUACAAAUUAAUUGCUUUAAAGAGAGACUUCCAGCAGUGGAGGCCUAGGAAAGUUAUAUAAUUCUAUGAUGCCACCUAGUGGAUACAGCCGUCAUUGCAAUAGUUUUAGUAUUAAAUCGAUGCAAUCACUUACUAACACCUCGUUAUAAACUAUAACCUCACUUUUAUUUAUUAUAUUUUAUUAUUUGAUUUUUUAAAUUACUGAUAAAUCAAACACUAAAACACAAACAUGAAGGCAGUGUGCGUGUAUUUGAAGUUAAUACUUCAUAAAAAAAAAAACAUUUACAUUGACAUUAGUGUCGUCGUCCAUGUGCAUGAAAACGACUCGAACAUUUUUCUCAUUCUGUUUCACCAGAAACCAGACAUCACAAAAAAAACCUUGACAUUUGCAUAAAUUUACAUAUGCAUCUAUUUCCCACGCACAAAACAACAGAACUGAACAACGCAGCAUUUUUAAAAAUAGAAACGUAUCAAAAUAAAACGAAAUCCACACCAUUUCCUCUUUUAUGUGAAUGUAAUCGAGUCCUUCUCACCCAAAAUCUUUUCUGUAACCGUUGUAACGUUGUAAAGAUGUGCGUGUGUUAUUCUUUGUUUUUGGAUUAUUUAUCUAACUUUUAUUAUUUGACUAAAAAAAAAGAGAACACUGUGUACGUUUGUACAGUUUUGGUUAAAAAAAAUCUGAAAAACAAUCAGCAUAUACAAAAUAAAGCUCAUAUAUAUAUAUAUAUAUAUAUAUA
ensembl:lncRNA